AUACCUUUGUGGGGACAUUGUCUAAGAAACUCUUUAACUCUUUCCCAAGCAUUAAAUAAGGAUUCAUCAUCUAGUUGUCUAAAUGAAGUGAUCUCGUUUCUCAUCUU